UGAAUACGAGACGCUACGGCGUCGAAGCAGUCUAUGUCAUACUUCCAAGAAAAGCUUGCACUGUCAUAAACAAAUAAUGCCUGUACCAUAACCGACACAGGUGGGUAGGUAGAGUAUACUAAGGGGCGCGAGAUAACUCUCUCUAAGGAACUCGGCAAAAUGACUCCGUAACUUCGGGAGAAGGAGUGCCUUAUUUAUAAGGUUGCAAUAACAAGAUCCAAGCAACUGUUUACCAAAAACACAGGUCUCCGCUAAGUCGUAAGACGAUGUAUGGGGGCUGACGCCUGCCCAGUGCCAGAAGGUUAAAGAAGUCGGUUAGCAUUAGCGAAGCUGGUAACUGAAGCCCUGGUGAACGGCGGCCGUAACAAUAACGGUCCUAAGGUAGCGAAAUUCCUUGUCGGGUAAGUUCCGACCCGCACGAAAGGCGUAAUGAUUUGGAUACUGUCUCGGAGAGGGACUCGGUGAAAUAGACUUGUCUGUGAAGAUGCGGACUACCUGCACCAGGACAGAAAGACCCUAUGAAGCUUUACUGUAACUUGAAAUUGAAAUUGGACUUUAUUUGCGCAGUAUAGGUGGGAGGUGUUGAGAGUAUUCUUGCGGGAAUAUUGGAGCCAUCAGUGAGAUACCACUCUUGUAAUGUUAGAUUUCUAACUUUGUAUCAUUAUCUGGUCAAAGGACAGUUUCAGGCGGGCAGUUCGACUGGGGCGGUCGCCUCCUAAACGGUAACGGAGGCGCACAAAGGUUUCCUCUGAACGGGUAGAAAUCGUAUCUAGAGUGUAAAGGCAUAAGGAAGCUUGACUGUGAGACCUACAAGUCGAGCAGGGACGAAAGUCGGUCUUAGUGAUCUGACGGUGCUGAGUGGAAAGGCCGUCACUCAACGGAUAAAAGUUACUCUAAGGAUAACAGGCUGAUCUCCCCCAAGAGUUCACAUCGACGGGGAGGUUUGGCACCUCGAUGUCGGCUCAUCGCAUCCUGGGGCGGUAGUACGUCCCAAGGGUUGGGCUGUUCGCCCAUGAAAGCGGUACGCGAGCUGGGUUCAGAACGUCGUGAGACAGUUCGGUCCAUAUCCGGUGUAGGCGUUAGAAUAUUGAGAGGAGCCUUCUUUAGUACGAGAGGACCGAGAAGGACAUACCUCUGGUGUACCAGUUAUCGUGCCAACGGUAAACGCUGGGUAGCUAUGUAUGGAGAGGAUAACCGCUGAAAGCAUCUAAGUGGGAAGCCCACCUCAAGAUAAGUAUUCC
rnacentral:rRNA from 1 species